CCCUUAGACGUUCUGGGCCGCACGCGCGCUACACUGACCAGUGCAACAAGCAUCCGUCCUUGGCCGACAGGCUCGGGCAAUCUUUGAACGCUGGUCGUGAUGGGGAUAGACUUUUGCAAUUUUUGGUCUUCAACGAGGAAUUCCUAGUAAACGCAAGUCAUCAACUUGCAUUGAUUACGUCCCUGCCCUUUGUACACACCGCCCGUCGCUCCUACCGAUUGAGUGUUCCGGUGAAUAAUUCGGACUGCAGCAGCGUGGGGACUCCUCAUGCUGCAGCGGAAAGUUUGGUGAACCUUAACACUUAGAGGAAGGAGAAGUCGUAACA
rnacentral:rRNA from 1 species